rnacentral:rRNA from 1 species
CAGUCGCCGCGGUAAUACGAGGGGUGCAAGCGUUAUUCGGAUUGAUUGGGUGUAAAGGGUGUGCAGACGGCUUAUUAAGUCACUUGUUAAAUUCUUCGGCCUAACUGAAGGUCUGCAAGUGAUACUGAUGAGCUAGAGGGUGGAAGAGAGAAGUGGAAUUCCACGUGUAGCGGUGAAAUGCGUAGAGAUGUGGAGGAACACCAGUGGCGAAGGCGACUCUCUGGUCUGUAACUGACGCUGAGGAGCGAAAGCGUGGGGAGCGAACAGGAUUAGAUACCCCGGUAGUCCCUGUCUCUUAUAC